UGGAUUGUGACUUGGUGUUGAUGCUCCAACACUUGAUCCGAGCGUGGCUCUGUCCAUAUGUGAUGUCAUCUUUGCUUCUGAAUCCAC
rnacentral:snoRNA from 1 species